rnacentral:rRNA from 1 species
GAUGAACGCUGGCGGCGUGCCUAAUACAUGCAAGUCGAACGCAGUGGGGACGGGUGAGUAACACGUGGGUAACCUCCCAUCAGAGGGGAUAACACUUGGAAACAGGUGCUAAACCCAUACUGAUGACUGGACCCGCGGGGCAUUAGCUAGUUGGUGAGGUAACGGCUCACCAAGGCCACGAUGCAUAGCCGACCUGGUAGGGUGAGCGGCCACACUGGGACUGAGACACGUCCCAGAAUCCUACGGGAGGCAGCAGUGGGGAAUCUUCGGCAAUGGACGAAAGUCUGACCGAGCAAUGCCGCGUGAGUGAAGAAGGUUUUCGGGUCGUAAAGCUCUGUGGUUGGAGAGGCGGUAUCUAACCAGAAAGCCACGGCUAACUACGUGCCAGCAGCCGCGGUAAUUC